AUACGGAGGAUGCAAGCGUUAUCCGGAUUUAUUGGGUUUAAAGGGUGCGUAGGCUGUUCGGAAAGUCAGGGGUGAAAGCCCGGCGCCUAACGCCGGAACUGCCUUUGAUACUUCCGAGCUGGAAUACGGAUGCCGUGGGAGGAAUGAGUAGUGUAGCGGUGAAAUGCAUAGAUAUUACUCAGAACACCGAUUGCGAAGGCAUCUCACGAAUCCGUCAUUGACGCUGAGGCACGAAAGCGUGAGGAUCAAACAGGAUUAGAUACCCUGGUAGUCCACGCAGUAAACGAUGAUGACUAACCGCUGGGCUUAUCAGUUCAGUGGCCAAGCGAAAGCGAUAAGCCAUCCACCUGGGGAGUACGACCGCAAGGUUAAAACUCAAAGGAAUUGACGGGG
rnacentral:rRNA from 1 species